UGGGGAAUAUUGCACAAUGGGCGAAAGCCUGAUGCAGCGACGCCGCGUGAGGGAUGACGGCCUUCGGGUUGUAAACCUCUUUCAGUAGGGACGAAGCGCAAGUGACGGUACCUGCAGAAGAAGCACCGGCUAACUACGUGCCAGCAGCCGCGGUAAUACGUAGGGUGCGAGCGUUGUCCGGAAUUACUGGGCGUAAAGAGCUCGUAGGCGGUUUGUCACGUCGUCUGUGAAAUCCUAGGGCUUAACCCUGGACGUGCAGGCGAUACGGGAUGACUUGAGUACUACAGGGGAGACUGGAAUUUCUGGUGUAGCGGUGGAAUGCACAGAUAUCAGGAAGAACACCGAUGGCGAAGGCAGGUCUCUGGGUAGUAACUGACGCUGAGGAGCGAAAGCAUGGGUAGCGAACAGG
rnacentral:rRNA from 1 species